GAUGAACGCUGGCGGCGUGCCUAAUACAUGCAAGUCGAGCGAACAGACGAGGAGCUUGCUCCUCUGACGUUAGCGGCGGACGGGUGAGUAACACGUGGAUAACCUACCUAUAAGACUGGGAUAACUUCGGGAAACCGGAGCUAAUACCGGAUAACAUGUUGAACCGCAUGGUUCAACAGUGAAAGACGGUCUUGCUGUCACUUAUAGAUGGAUCCGCGCCGCAUUAGCUAGUUGGUAAGGUAACGGCUUACCAAGGCAACGAUGCGUAGCCGACCUGAGAGGGUGAUCGGCCACACUAGAACUGGAACACGGACAAGACUCCUACGGGAGGCAGCAGUAGGGAAUCGUCCGCAAUAGGCGAAAGCCUGACGGAGCAACGCCGCGUGAGUGAAGAAGGUCUUCGGAUCGUAAAACUCUGUUAUUAGGGAAGAACAAAUGUGUAAGUAACUAUGCACGUCUUGACGGUACCUAAUCAGAAAGCCACGGCUAACUACGUG
rnacentral:rRNA from 1 species